GAUGAACGCUGGCGGCGUGCCUAAUACAUGCCAGUCGAGCGAACAGACGAGGAGCUUGCUCCUCUGACGUUAGCGGCGGACGGGUGAGUAACACGUGGAUAACCUACCUAUAUGACUGGGAUAACUUCGGGAAACCGGAGCUAAUACCGGAUAAUAUAUUUAACCGCAUGGUUCAAUAGUGAAAGACGGUUUUGCUGUCACUUAUAGCUGGAUCCGCGCCGCAUUAGCUAGUUGGUAAGGUAACGGCGUACCAAGGCCACGAUGCGUAGCCGAACUGAGAGGGUGAUCGGCCACACUGGAACUGAGACACGGUCCAGACUCCUACGGGAGGCAGCAGUAGGGAAUCUUCCGCAAUGGGCGAAAGCCUGACGGAGCAACGCCGCGUGAGUGAUGAAGGUCUUCGGAUCGUAAAACUCUGUUAUUAGGGAAGAACAAAUGUGUAAGUAACUAUGCACGUCUUGACGGUACCUAAUCAGAAAGCCACGGCUAACUACGUG
rnacentral:rRNA from 1 species